rnacentral:rRNA from 1 species
UACGUAGGGUGCAAGCGUUGUCCGGAAUUAUUGGGCGUAAAGAGCUCGUAGGCGGUCUGUCACGUCGGCUGUGAAAACCCGAGGCUCAACCUCGGGCCUGCAGUCGAUACGGGCAAACUAGAGUGUUGCAGGGGAGACUGGAAUUCCUGGUGUAGCGGUGAAAUGCGCAGAUAUCAGGAGGAACACCGGUGGCGAAGGCGGUGGUCUGGGCCAGUACUGACGCUGAGGAGCGAAAGCGUGGGUAGCAAACAGG